rnacentral:rRNA from 1 species
UCAAGCUAAAAAGAGCGCAGGGUGGAUGCCUUGGCACUAAGAGCCGAUGAAAGACGUGAUAAGCUGCGAUAAGCUACGGGGAGGAGCACAUAUCCAUUGAUCCGUAGAUUUCUGAAUGGGGAAACCCGGCUGAGCAUACCUCAGUCACCGUACACUGAAUCCAUAGGUGUACGGAGGGAACCCGGUGAACUGAAACAUCUAAGUAGCCGGAGGAAGAGAAAGAAAACUCGAUUUUCAAAGUAGCGGCGAGCGAAAUGGAAAGAGCCCAAACCGGAGUGCGUGCACUCCGGGGUUCGGACUGCAUUUAUGACUUCUGACUGUAGCGGAACGGUUCUGGAAAGACCGGCCAGAGAGGGUGAGAGCCCCGUAGGCGAAACGGAAAGAAGCAGAGCAGGAUCCAGAGUACCACGAGACACGAGAAACCUUGUGGGAAUGAGCGGGGACCACCCCGUAAGGCUAAAUACUCCUUAGUGACCGAUAGAGCAGAGUACUGUGAAGGAAAGGUGAAAAGGACCCCGGGAGGGGAGUGAAAGAGAACCUGAAACCCUGUGUUUACAAACUGUGGAAGUACCAUAUGAGUACAACCGCGUACUUUUUGUAGAACGGUCCGGCGAGUUACGUUUACUGGCGAGGUUAAGCACUUAAGGUGCGGAGCCGAAGGGAUACCAAGUCUUAACAGGGCGCAUAGCUUCUUACGAAGCAUUAGUCAGUGUACGUAGACCCGAAACCGGGUGAUCUACCCAUGUCCAGGCUGAAGUUGCCGUAAAAGGCAAUGGAGGGCCGAACGCACAUCCGUUGAAAAGGGUGGCGAUGAGGUGUGGGUAGGGGAGAAAUUCCAAUCGAACCCGGAGAUAGCUGGUUCUCCUCGAAAUAGCUUUAGGGCUAGCCUCGGUUUAGUCUGCUGGAGGUAGAGCACUGAAUUUCCUAGGGGGCGUCAAAGCUUACCGAAGAAUAUCAAACUCCGAAUGCCAGCCAGAUGAUGACCGGGAGUCAGACUGCACGAGAUAAGUUGGGUAGUCAAAAGGGAAAGAGCCCAGACCACCGGCUAAGGUCCCAAAGUACGUGUUAAGUGGAAAAGGAUGUGGGAUUUCAAAGACAACCAGGAUGUUGGCUCAGAAGCAGCCAUACAUUCAAAGAGUGCGUAAUAGCUCACUGGUCGAGAGGUCCUGCGCCGAAAAUGUCCGGGGCUGAAACACGACACCGAAGCUGUGGAAUUGACGAAUGUUAAUUGGUAGAGGAGCAUUCUUAGCGGGAUGAAGCAGUACCGAAAGGAGCUGUGGACUUCUAAGAAGAGAGAAUGCCGGAAUGAGUAGCGAGAGAGAGGUGAGAAUCCUCUCGGCCGAAUAUCUAAGGUUUCCAGAGUAAAGCUGAUCUGCUCUGGGUAAGUCGGGACCUAAGGCGAGGUCGAAAGACGUAGUCGAUGGACAACAGGUUGAGAUUCCUGUACUGCUGUAUAACAGAACUGUGGGGACACAGAGGGAGAGUGCAACCCGGGAGUGGAAAGACCGGGGCAAGCGAGGUAGGAGUCACGUAGGCAAAUCCGCGUGACAAUCCGAAGACGUGACGCAUAGCGAAAUCAAGUAGCGAAUUGCAUGAGCCAGCUGUCGAGAAAAGCCGCUAUUGUUUGUACAGUACCCGUACCGUAAACCGACACAGGUGGAUGAGGAGAGAAUCCUAAGGCCGACGGAAGAAGCAUUGUUAAGGAACUCGGCAAAAUGACCCCGUAACUUCGGGAGAAGGGGUGCCCUGUGAAAGCAGGGCCGCAGAGAAUAGGCUCAAGCAACUGUUUAGCAAAAACACAGGUCUAUGCGAAACCGAAAGGUGAGGUAUAUGGGCUGACGCCUGCCCGGUGCUGGAAGGUUAAGAGGAGAAGUCAGGCAACGAAGCUUCGAAUUUAAGCCCCAGUAAACGGCGGCCGUAACUAUAACGGUCCUAAGGUAGCGAAAUUCCUUGUCGGGUAAGUUCCGACCCGC